GCAUGGCGGGACCAACUCCAAGGCCGAAGGCCUAGGCCACAAGGAUACACGUUAAGACGCUGCCCCAUGUCCUGAAGCAGAUUGGCCGCCUGCUGGCGAUGCUUCAACCAGAAGGCAGCGGCGAAGGCUGCAGGCACUUCCCAGCGUCACCUAAGAGGCGACCCACAUCCGCUGUGCGGGGGCAACUGCGACUUGACGAACUUCCG
rnacentral:lncRNA from 1 species